rnacentral:rRNA from 1 species
GACGAACCGAGCGAACGUUGUUCGGAAUCACUGGGCUUAAAGGGCGCGUAGGCGGGCUGUCAAGUCUGGGGUGAAAUCCCACGGCUCAACCGUGGAACUGCCUUAGAUACUGACGGCCUCGAGGGAGAUAGGGGCGAGCGGAACUGUGAGUGGAGCGGUGAAAUGCGUUGAUAUUCACAGGACUCCGGUGGCGAAGGCGGCUCGCUGGAUCUUUUCUGACGCUGAGGCGCGAAAAGCGGAGGGAGCAAACGGGG